rnacentral:rRNA from 1 species
AGGGUUUGAUUAUGGCUCAGGACGAACGCUGGCGGCGCGCCUAACACAUGCAAGUCGAACGAGCGAGAGAGAGCUUGCUUUCUCAAGCGAAUGGCGGACGGGUGAGUAACGCGUGAGGAACCUGCCUUGAAGAGGGGGACAACAGUUGGAAACGACUGCUAAUACCGCAUGAUGCAUAAGGGUCGCAUGAUUCUUAUGCCAAAGAUUUAUCGCUUCAAGAUGGCCUCGCGUCUGAUUAGCUGGUUGGCGGGGUAACGGCCCACCAAGGCGACGAUCAGUAGCCGGACUGAGAGGUUGAACGGCCACAUUGGGACUGAGAUACGGCCCAG